rnacentral:rRNA from 1 species
UACGUAGGGGGCAAGCGUUGUCCGGAUUCAUUGGGCGUAAAGAGCGUGUAGGCGGCCAGGUAGGUCGGUUGUGAAAACUGGAGGCUCAACCUUCAGACGUCGACCGAAACCAUCUGGCUAGAGUCCGGGGGAGGAGAGUGGAAUUCCUGGUGUAGCGGUGAAAUGCGCAGAUAUCAGGAAGAACACCCGUGGCGAAAGCGGCUCUCUGGAACGGUACUGACGCUGAGACGCGAAAGCGUGGGGGGCGAACAGG